GACGAACGCUGGCGGCGUGCUUAACACAUGCAAGUCGAACGCCCCGCAAGGGGAGUGGCAGACGGGUGAGUAACACGUGGGAACGUACCCUUUGGUUCGGAAUAACUUGGGGAAACUCAAGCUAAUACCGGAUAAGCCCUUAUGGGGAAAGGUUUACUGCCGAAGGAUCGGCCCGCGUCUGAUUAGCUAGUUGGUGAGGUAAUGGCUCACCAAGGCGACGAUCAGUAGCUGGUCUGAGAGGAUGAUCAGCCACACUGGGACUGAGACACGGCCCAGACUCCUACGGGAGGCAGCAGUGGGGAAUAUUGGACAAUGGGGGCAACCCUGUUCCAGCCAUGCCGCGUGAGUGAUGAAGGCCUUAGGGUUGUAAAGCUCUUUUACCCGGGACGAUAAUGACUGUACCGGGAGAAUAAGCCCCGGCUAACUUCGUGCCAGCAGCCGCCGUAA
rnacentral:rRNA from 1 species